GGCCGGCUUGGUGGAGAGGGGCGGUCCUGCUUCUCUCCUCCUCCUCCCGCCGCCAGCCGAGGCGGCGCGGCCCGGCCCGCUCCGCUCCCUGUGCUCGUGGCGGCUGCGGAGCCGUGGGGGUGGGCGGGAGCCGGCGGCGAUGGAGCACUGACCGGGAAGAUGAUCGUAUUUUCCCCUCUAGAAGAAGUGGGCAAAGCAGUUAGGAACAGGAAACAACGAAUAUAGCAGUAGAGAUGGAUGAACAAGCCCUUUUAGGGCUCAACCCAAAUGCUGAUGCAGACUUCAGACAAAGAGCACUAGCCUACUUUGAGCAGCUCAAGAUAUCUCAGGAUGCUUGGCAAGUCUGUGCAGAAGCAUUAGCUCAGAGUAUAUACAGUGAUGAUCACAUCAAGUUCUUCUGCUUUCAAGUUCUGGAACAUCAAGUUAAAUUCAAAUAUUCUGAACUUACUGAAGUCCAGCAGCAGCUAAUUAGGGAAACACUCAUAACAUGGCUGCAAGCACAGAUGCUGAAUCCCCAGCCUGAGAAGACUUUUAUUCGCAACAAAGCAGCACAAGUCUUUGCAUUGCUUUUUGUUACUGAAUAUCUCACAAAAUGGCCCAAGUUUUUUUUUGACAUUCUGUCAGUAGUUGACCUUAAUCCACGAGGUGUGGAUAUGUACCUCAGAAUCCUGAUGGCUGUUGAUGCUGAGCUGGUGGACCGGGAUGUUGUUCAUACAUCAGAGGAGGCUCGUAGGAACACCUUACUAAAAGAUACUAUGAGGGAACAGUGCAUUCCAAGUCUGGUGGAAUCAUGGUACCAAAUCUUACAGAAUUAUCAAUAUAAUAACUCAGAGUUGACAUGCCAGUGCCUUGAAGUAGUUGGAGCUUAUGUAUCCUGGAUAGAUUUGAGCCUGAUAGCCAAUGAAAGGUUUAUAAAUAUGCUGCUAGGUCACAUGUCUGUGGAAGUUCUCCGGGAAGAAGCCUGUGAUUGUUUGUUUGAAAUUGUAAAUAAGGGAAUGGACCCAAUUGAUAAAACAAAACUGGUUGAGUCUUUAUGUCAAGUAUUGCAGUCUGCUGGCCUCUUCAGUAUUGAUCAGGAGGAUGAUGUGGACUUUUUGGCCAGAUUUUCUAAGCUGGUCAAUGGGAUGGGGCAAGCAUUAAUAGCUAGUUGGACUAAACUGAUAAAAAAUGGUGAUAUGAAGAGUGCUCAAGACACUCUACAAGCUAUUGAAGCAAAAGUGGCCCUGAUGUUGCAACUUCUAAUUCAUGAAGAUGAUGAUAUCUCUUCCAACAUCAUUGGCUUCUGUUACGACUACCUUCACAUUCUGAAACAACUUUCUGCACUUUCAGACCAACAAAAAGCUAAUGUAGAGGCAAUCAUGUUGGCUGUUAUGAAGAAGUUGACAUAUGAUGAAGAAUAUAAUUUUGAAAAUGAGGGUGAAGAUGAGGCAAUGUUUGUGGAGUACAGAAAACAGCUGAAACUGUUGCUGGACAGACUUGCUCAGGUUUCACCAGAAUUACUGUUGGCAUCUGUCCGCAGAGUUUUUAACACUACACUUCAGAACUGGCAGACGACACGAUUCAUGGAAGUAGAAGUGGCAAUAAGGCUGCUGUAUAUGUUAGCUGAGGCUCUUCCUGUAUCUCAUGGUGCUCACUUCUCUGGUGAUGUUACUAAAGCUACAGCUUUACAAGACAUGAUGAGAACGCUGGUGACUUCUGGUGUUAGUGCCUAUCAACACACAUCAGUGACCCUGGAAUUUUUUGAAACCGUGGUUAGAUAUGAAAAAUUCUUUGCUGUUGAACCUCAGCACAUUCCAACUGUACUAAUGGCAUUUUUAGAUCACCGUGGUCUUCGUCAUACAAGUCCCAAAGUACGGAGUCGAACAGCUUACCUCUUUUCCAGAUUUGUCAAGUCUCUUAAUAAGCAAAUGAAUCCCUAUAUUGAAGAUGUUCUGAACAGAAUACAAGACCUGAUGGAACUUUCUCCUCCUGAAAAUGGCUACCAGGCACUGUUAAGCAGUGAUGAUCAACUUUUCAUUUAUGAAACAGCUGGAGUGUUAAUAGUUAACAGCGAAUACUCUGCAGAAAGGAAACAGGUUCUGAUGAGGAAUUUGUUGACUCCGCUGAUGGAGAAGUUCAAAGUAUUGUUAGAAAAACUGAUGAUGGCACAAGACGAGGACAGACAGAUGGCACUGGCUGACUGCCUCAAUCAUGCUGUUGGGUUUGCUAGCCGAACCAGCAAGGCUUUCAGCAAUAAGCAAACUGUAAAACAAUGUGGAUGCUCAGAGGUUUAUCUGGACUGCUUACAAACAUUUCUGCCAGCUCUCAGUUGUCCAUUACAAAAGGAAGUUCUGAGAAGUGGUGUCCGCACUUUCCUUCACCGCAUGAUUAUUUGCCUAGAGGAAGAAGUUCUUCCGUUCAUUCCUUCUGCCUCUGAACAUAUGCUUAAAGAUUGUGAAGCAAAAGAUCUUCAAGAGUUCAUUCCUCUUAUAAACCAAAUAACAGCUAAGUUUAAGACACAGGUUUCACCUUUUCUGCAACAGAUGUUUAUGCCACUACUUCAUGCUAUUUUUGAGGUGUUGCUCCUUCCAGCAGAAGAAAAUGACCAGUCUGCUGCUUUAGAAAAACAGAUGUUACGGAGGAGUUACUUUGCUUUUCUGCAAACAGUAACUGGUAGUGGAAUGAGUGAAGUCAUAGCUAAUCAAGGUGCAGAGAAUGUGGAACGUGUGUUGUUCACUGUCAUUCAAGGAGCAGUGGAUUACCCAGAUCCUAUUGCACAGAAGACUUGUUUUAUUAUUCUUUCUAAGUUGGUGGAGCUCUGGGGAGGUAAAGAUGGACCAGUAGGUUUUGCAGACUUUGUCUACAAGCACAUUGUUCCUGCAUGUUUCUUAGCACCUUUGAAGCAAACGUUUGACUUAGCAGAUGCCCAGACAGUACUGGCUUUAUCAGAAUGUGCAGUGACGUUGAAAACAAUUCAUCUCAAAAGGGGUCCUGAGUGCAUUCAGUAUCUUCAGCAAGAGUAUUUGCCUUCUUUGCAAGUAGCUCCUGAGAUAAUCCAGGAAUUCUGUCAAGCACUUCAGCAGCCUGAUGCUAAAGUUUUUAAAAAUUACUUAAAGGUUUUUUUCCAGCGAGCCAAGCCCUGAGGAAAAUACUGGAAUCUCAUGUACCUGUUUCCAUAAUGCAGAACUCUGGUUGUUAAUUUAUAAAAAUGCUAACUCUUGUGCCAUUCAAACUGGUUUUGUUUUUAAGAAAUGUUGCUUUGUGCUCACAUCAGUAUGUACUUUAACCUUCUGCAAAAAAGAAAUGCAAAUUCCCCACCUCUGUCUCAGACAUGAAGGUCCCUUUGUGCCAAAUCUGGAGCUCAUCUGUACCCAUAAUCUGCUACCCAGGAAGCUGAAGCAGCAGAAACACUUCCCUCUCACACUGUGUUGCCCACUCUGGUGGUGGCAGAUGGCUUUCUAUCUACACCAUGAGCAGAAGAGUAUAAUUAGUGUGAAGUCUGCUUGGGAACAUUAUCUGUACGUGUUGUAAACAACUUUGGAAUGCAUUCUCUGGUGGCAAGCUGGAAAGAGUUGCCUUACGUCAUGGAACUGCAUCUCUUCCCUCCACAAAACUACAGAAGAAAAUGGCUUAAGUAACAUGGUAAAAGGCAGCUCCAGCAGAACUGAAGUUGGCUGCUGAACAGCUUUGCUUAUUCUACUUCAGCUGUGAUGCCUCUGAAGUACUUAAAUCAAAUAUAGAAAGCAAACAGAUUACAAGAGUAAAUAGCCCAAAAGCUUUGAUUCUGUUCAGAGAAUUUGUUUGUGAUACAGGAAAAAUAACUAUUAACUUGCUUAGCAAUUUCAAGUGUACUGUUCUCACACACUUAAUGGU